rnacentral:ncRNA from 1 species
AAAUAUUUAAUUAUAGUAUGAAAAUUAUAUUUAUUAUUUUAUUUUAUAUAUAAAUUUUGUUUAAAUAAUAUUUAAGUAGUAUAUAAUUUUAAAUUUAAAAUAAAUUUUGAUUUAGAAAAUAAUAUAAAAUUAACCAAAUUUGUGCCAGCAGUUGCGGUUAUUCAAAUAAUUUAAUUUAAUUUUUUUAGUUUUAAUUAAAUGAUAAAUUUUAAUUUAAAGUAAAUUUUUAAGGUGAAAUUUUAAAUUUAUUAAAUUAUUAUUUUUAAUAAUUGAUUUAAAAAAAUUAAUUUUUAAACUAGGAUUAGAUACCCUAUUAUUUUAAUUGUAAUUUUAUUAAACUAAAUAAUUAAUAGUUAAGUUCUUUAAAGUUAAAUAAUUUGGCGGUAUUUUAGUCUUUUUAGAGGAACCUGUUCUAUAAUUGAUAGUCCACGUUUUAAUUAACUUAAAUUAGAAGUUUAUAUAUCGUCGUGAAGAAUAUUUUUUUAGAAAUUAAUAUUUAUAAUAUAUUAUAUUAUAGUAAUUCAGAUCAAGGUAUAGUUUAUAUUUAAGAAGAAAUGGGUUACAAUAAAUAAAUUUUUGGAUAUAAAAUUGAAAAUUUUAUUAAAAUUGGAUUUAAAAGUAAUUAAAUUUAUUUUAUUUUAAUGAUUAAGCUCUAAAAUAUGUACAUAUCGCCCGUCACUUUCAUUUUAAAAUGGAAUAAGUCGUAACAAAGUAGAUUUACUGGAAAGUGAAUCUAGAAUUCAA